rnacentral:rRNA from 1 species
CGCAUCUGUGCAUGCAGCAUAUCAAUAAGCGGAGGAAAAGAAACUAACAAGGAUUCCCCUUAGUAACGGCGAGUGAAGCGGGAAGAGCUCAAAUUUGAAAUCUUAAAGGGUUUCCCUUUACGAAUUGUAGUUUAAAGAAGUGUUUUCUGUUGAGGUUUUGGUAAAAGUUCUUUGGAAUAGGACAUCAUAGAGGGUGAGAAUCCCGUAUUUGACCUUUACUUUCAACUUUGUGAUACACUUUCAAAGAGUCGGAUUGUUUGGGAAUGCAGUCCAAAAUGGGUGGUAAAUUUCAUCUAAAGCUAAAUAUUGGCGAGAGACCGAUAGCGAACAAGUACCGUGAGGGAAAGAUGAAAAGAACCUUGAAAAGAGAGUUAAACAGUACGUGAAAUUGUCAAAAGGGAAGCGUUUGACACCAGUGUUGUUUUUCUGAAAAUCAAUUAAAGAACUGUUUAUGCUAAGUUGUUUAGACUUUAUCAGCUAGCUGUUUAGUUUUGAGCUUUUCUUUAAUGCACUUUUCAGUUAACAAGUCAACAUCAAUUUCUUUUGCUGUAAAAAAGCUUGAGGAAGGUGGCUUGAGAUUCGUCUUAAGUGUUUAUAGCCUCUUGCCUAUGCAGUCGGAGAGAUUGAGGUCUGCAGCGUAGAUCCUUCGGGGCUAAAUGCAUUUGUGCUAAGUUAUAGCAUUUUAUAGACAACUUGUUGACUAUGAUUUGUCUUGUAGCUUACUCGCUUAUGUUAUUUUACCUACGCUUAGGAUGUUGAGUCAUCACACAUCUCU